GAAGCUAUAGAUUAUUUAUUUACAAUUUUCAUUUUUUUUAACUUUUUGUUUUUUUUUUCUACAUUUAUAGUUUUGUCUCACAUUUUGUUACUUUUUUUUUUGGGGUUUAGCCCAAUUUAUUAAUAUGUUGGUUUUUUUUUGGUCUAUUUUAUAAGUUUUUUUUUUCUUGAUCUCUUGAGUGUACUUGAAUUUAUUUCAUCUUUCACUUUAAAAAUAAUUUCUUGAUAGAUUAGCAGGGAGUUCUUCUUCAUAAUUAAAGAGAAAAUUUAGAAGAAAAACAACUUCAUAACCUUUCAAUAGUAAUACAUAAAUGAAUUGAGUAUAAACAUUUGAGUGAUGAGAUCCAUAUAUUUCUUUGAAUUGUGAUAAUCAUUUGUGUUAAUUUCUUAUUUUUCUAACCUUUUGCAAGCAUGAUUUCAUUUAAAAAUGAAUGUCAUAGAAUGCUCAUUUUAAGAAUA
rnacentral:lncRNA from 1 species